rnacentral:rRNA from 1 species
CACGUGAGAAUUUGCCUUUAGGUUGGGAAUAACAAUUGGAAACGAUUGCUAAUACCCGUAGUGGCCAAUUGGUUAAAGAAUUAAUAAUUUGCCUAAAGAGAAGCUCGCGGCUGAUUAGCUUGUUGGUAAGGUAAUGGCUUACCAAGGCGACGAUCAGUAUCUGGUUUGAGAGGAUGAUCAGACACACUGGAACUGAGACACGGUCCAGACUCCUACGGGAGGCAGCAGUGGGGAAUUUUCCGCAAUGGGCGAAAGCCUGACGGAGCAAUACCGCGUGAGGGAAGACGGCUCAUGGGUUGU